GAUGAACGCUGGCGGCGUGCCUAAUACAUGCAAGUCGAGCGAACAGACGAGGAGCUUGCUCCUCUGACGUUAGCGGCGGACGGGUGAGUAACACGUGGAUAACCUACCUAUAAGACUGGGAUAACUUCGGGAAACCGGAGCUAAUACCGGAUAAUAUAUUGAACCGCAUGGUUCAAUAGUGAAAGACGGUUUUGCUGUCACUUAUAGAUGGAUCCGCGCCGCAUUAGCUAGUUGGUAAGGUAACGGCUUACCAAGUCAACGAUGCGUAGCCGACCUGAGAGGGUGUUGGGCCACGCUGGUACGGAAGCACCAUCCACACUCCUACGGGAUGCAGCAGUAGGGAAUCUUCCGCAAUGGGCGGAAGGCUGACGGAGCAAAGACGCGUGAGUGAUGAAAAUCUUCGGAUCGUAAAACUCUGUUAUUAGGGAAGAACAAAUGUGUAAGUAACUAUGCACGUCUUGACGGUACCUAAUCAGAAGGCCACGGCUAACUACGUG
rnacentral:rRNA from 1 species